AUACAUGCAAAAGAAAAUUUCUUUGUUAAAAAAAGGAAAUGUAUAUAUUAGAAUAAAAAAUCCAAAAAAAUUAACAUAUAGGAUGAUUUAUAAUAUUUUCAACAAAGCAUAUAGAAUAAUAAAGUAAAAUUUAUUAGAUGCUAAACCGAUCAAAUUUCUGCCCUAUCAACUUUGGACGGUAACGUAGUGGGUUACGGUGGUGAUGACGGGUAACGGAGAAUUAGGGUUUGAUUCCGGAGAGGGAGCAUGAGAAAUGGCUACCACUUCCAAGGAAGGCAGCAGGCGCGUAAAUUACCCAAUCCAAACAAAGUAUUGAUUUUUUAUAAGAGUGGGAGGUAGUGACAAUAAAUAACAAUCAUAGAAUGAAAUAAAAAGUUUUAUGAAUUGGAAUGAGAACAAUUUAAAUCCGUUAUCGAGUAACAAUUUCAGGGCAAGUUCUGGUGCCAGCAGCCGCGGUAACUCCAGCUGAAAAAGCGUAUACGAAUAUUGUUGCAGUUAAAACGCUCGUAGUUGGAAAUGAGUGAAUAUAUUUGUUUUUAUUUUUAUUUUUAAAAGAAUAAAAAAGAAAAAAGAAUAUAUUUAUAAUAUGAUUUUAUAUAUUUUGAAUUUAGUAAUGAAGGAAGAAUAUAUAAGAUAAUUUUACUUUGAAUAAAUUAGAGUGCUUUAAGCAAAUUAAUUUUUUAAUAGAAAUAUUAAAAGAUAAUGAAUAAUUUGAAUAAUUUAGCUAAGAAUAAUAGAAUAAGAUUUGAAAGAUAAGAAUUUGGUAAUUAAUGUUUUAAAUAAUGAUAAAUAGGAAUAGUUGGGGGUAUUUGUAUUGAAUAGUCAGAGGUGAAAUUCGAGGAUUUGUUCAAGACAAACAUCAGCGAAAGCAUUUACCAAAGAUAUUUCCAUUAAUCAAGAACGAAAGUUAGGGGAUCGAAGAUGAUCAGAUACCGUCGUAGUCCUAACUAUAAACAAUACCAACCAAAGAUAAGAGUAGGUUAUAAAAUAUGUCGAAUUGUCUCAAAAGGAUGAUUUUGACUAUUACAAAUUCUAUUCUUAUAUUUUAGAGGGAAACCAUUGAGUAUUUGGGUUCUGGGGGGAGUACGGUAUUUCGCAAGGCUGAAACUUAAAGGAAUUGACGGAAGGGCACCACCAGGUGUGGAACCUGCGGCUUAAUUCGACUCAACACGGGACAACUCACCAGGCCCGGACACAGUGAGGAUUGACAGAUUGAAGAUCUUUCUUGAUUUUGUGGUUGGUGGUGCAUGGCCGUUCUUAGUUCGUGGAACUGAUCUGUCUGCUUAAUUGCGAUAACGAACGAGACCUUUGUUUAUUAAUUAGUUGGAGGAUAAGAGAGCUAUUCGUCCAGAUAGGAGUGCGCCUGCGCAUGAAUAAGACUAAGUGAUUAGUCAACUUCUUAGAAAAGACAGUGUAUUCUUUUUUCGACAAAUACAAGGAAGUGGAAGGCAAUAACAGGUCUGUGAUGCCCUUUAGAUGUUCUGGGCUGCACGCGCGUUACACUGAAAGUUGCAAAGAGUGCGUUGUGCUUUUCUUUUCCUGCGAGCAAGAUUUGCUCGGGGGGGGGGGAGGCGCCUGCAGUGAAGACGAGCGGGCAAACUGUCGAUCAACGACUUUCGUGAUGGGGAUUGAUGAUUGUAAUUGUUCAUCAUGAACGAGGAAUACCUAGUAAGCGCAAUUCAUCAAAUUGCGUUGAUUACGUCCCUGCCUUUUGUACACCCCGCCCGUCGCUCCUACCGAUGAAUAGUCCGGUGAAAUACAGGAACCUGACGAGAGAAAGGAAACU
rnacentral:rRNA from 1 species